GACUGCUGGCGACCGCGCGCACUCGCGCGUACCUAGAACGAAGCCGGCGAGAAGGCCGACGUGGGCACGGGGCACCGGCUUCGCGCGAACUAGCCGCAGAGACGGGGAGGCGAGAGCGGCAGCGCGGGCGAAGGGCGCCGGGACGCUCGGGGGUUGCCGCGGCCUCCCCCACCCCACCCGGCUGUCAUCGUCGGGUCGCGCUGCGGCUGCGCGCCGCUCGCGCCUCUCGCCCGCGCUGCCCGUUUGCGCGUCGUUCUUGGCCUUCGUCGGCGCUCGACCGUACGACCGCUCGACCGCUAUCCGAAGUCUGGCACCAGAAUCCGACGAGCGCCGAGACACGCCGACGUCGCGCUUCGCCGACGGAGUUCUCGGCGGACCUCUUCGGUCGAAGCACGGGCGAGGGGCGGAGGCGCGCCGGCCUACGCACUACGGCCCUGCCGGAUCAAUAUAAGCCGCGGCCGGCGGCUCAGGCCGAAUAGAUGCGGCUGAAGCGACAGCGGCGCGGCGCCCUCGCGCUCGCCGCCUCGACCUCCCCACGAACGCGGCAACCACGACCAGUAAUUGUUAGAUAUUCGUAAUUUUUUACGAAACCCGUAGACAAAGCAAUUUCUUAAAAAUGGGCAGUAACGCAGAAACAAAAGCUAAGUAUGAAAGCUUAGUGAAAAGUGCAUCUGCGCUAUAUCUGGAAAAACAAUUUCAGAAAGCUCUAUUUUUUUACAAUGAUGCUCUUAAAGUAGUUACAGAAUCAAACAUGAGCAAAAUGGUGGUUUGUAUACUGAAAUAUAUGAUUUGUUGCUGCCUCUAUGAGUCUGAUAAACUAGAAGAUAUGGUAGAAGUUGUUAAUAUGUUGCAAACGAUGGAUAGGAGUAUUAAGAAUCGUUUUCCUGCUUUAUACUGUUUAUUAGCUCAAACCCACUGUAAGCUUUUUAGGUUCGAACUAGCGGAAAUGGAAUUUAGAAAUGCAGAUUUAAUCUUCACUAAGAAUCCAACAUUAGAAACAUUUUACAUUCCUGGAACUAAAAGUCCAAUCAGGCCAACAAGUAAGAAUGACGAAACAUGGUUAAAAAUCAAAGAAGAAUGUUUAGCUUAUCAUCAACCAGAUGCUAUUUGCAGUUAUCCAGAUUGUAACUAUGUUGCAAAACCAUAUGUUAUACCUAGCAAAAAUAUAUUUUUGAAAGAUCCAGCAUUUAAUGGCAUGGUUAUUGUUAACUGUAAUAAUAAGAACCAGCCAUGCGUAUUAAAAUUCCAUCAAUAUUGUUGGAAAAUGAAGAAAGAUGAGUUGUAUCCAAUAUCAAAAGUGUCGGACAAGGAUGUUUUAGGAGACAAAUGCUCUACUCCUAAUUGUUUAAAUGGUGAUACUGCUUGUGUUAUAUCAUCUAUUCAGGUAAUCGAUCAGAAAGGAGAAAUCAAAGCUCAUAUUAAGGAAAAUCCUUCUACUACAUGGCCUGUUAAACCUCAAGAUAAAAAUGACAAAAACACUUCCAAAGGGGCUAUUAAAAAGUUUAAACUUAAUCCAACUUCUAAAAAGUCUGGAAAUCCUAUUUCGAGUGAUUCUAUACAACAACAGUUGUUGGAUUCUUUAGCAAGAUCGAUAGCUACAGUACCAGAAGCAAAAGAUCUUUGCAACAAAGAUGAUGUUCACUAUUACAAUGAAUCACAAAUAAUAGUUGUUAAGGAUACAGUGGUGGAUGUAGAUUUCUCAAAUGAGAUUUCAGAAGUUGCCGGUGAAAAGAGUUUUUUGCUUUCCUUCUUUAUCGAUUAUAUUAAAAAGAAUCGUGUAACAAUUCAUGAUGUUUAUUCAAAAUUUAAUGAAUAUUAUCAAGACUUGCAUCUAAAAGAUUUGGAUAUAUUAGGUUUUUUACUACAAACAAAUAACUUUGAAAUACUAAGUAAUAAAGAUACUUCAUAUAACUCUGAUGUAUGUACCGAAGAAAUCAUAAACCAGUCAAAUGAUAAUUUCAAGGCACAAAACUUUGAUGAUGACAGCGCAUCAUAUAUUGACGAUGUUUAUUAUGAAUUAAUGAACGACAAAGAUGAAGUGUUUGUAGAUUCUGCCGAAAAUACAGAGCAUAUACAAAAUUUUAAUUUACAGGAACCUAAUUUCAAUAUAAACUUGUCUGACAAUUAUAAAAAUCAUUAUGAUUUUAAAGUCGACGAUUUUGUUCAUGAUAUAGUUGAUGGUAACGAUGUAAUGGAACAUACGAAGAAUAUUACAAAUUCAUUCACACCUCAGUCACUUGAGUCGUGUGCGAAGUUUGAUUUCAUGCAAGCUCCUCCAAAUUUCUCUAAAGGACAUGAAAAUAAUCAGCUAAAAGAUUACAUAACUAAACUCGAAAGUGAUAUGGAAAAAAUAAUAGAUGAAAAUGCUAACCUAAGGAAAGAGAUUGCAAAUAAAGACUCCAAUAUAGAAAAUUUCAAAAAAGAAUACAACAGUUAUCAAGAAAAAAUAAAGCAAUGUGAACAAUUGUUUGAAACAAUGACUGACUUUCAAAAAGGUUACGAUAACAUGAAAGAAGAAAAUUUCAAAACUAAAGAAGAACUUGUAAAAGUAAUGAAAGAAAAGAUGGACUUGGAAGCAAAAUUAGAAGAGCUUGAGGAUCCUGAGGCUAAGCGUACAGAGUUUAUGAAGUUAUUCCAAGAAGAAUAUAUACUGUUGCAACAAGCUGUUAACGAGGAAUGGGAAAGCAAAACGGAUAUCUUAACAAAAUCCUUGAAAGCGGAAAUUGAAACUAAAAUGGCAUUGCUGAAUAAAUUAUUGAAUACUCAGUACUCAAGCAAUAAACAUAUACUCGCAGGAUACCUUGAUCAGUGCUCCGACUUUGUGGAAAUCACUGACAAAGUGAACGCUUGGAUGGAAAAGACUAUGAACAUCAAAAGUUUCUUCGACAAUUCCAAGUGGCUGACAAGAUUGGAAUUACUCCAAGCGGCUGCAAAUGAACUUAAGUCGGAAUACUCGAAAGUACUGAAUGAACUACAUGAUGAUAAAGAGGACAAGUUCAAAAUGACCGACAUCAAUCUGAAAACUCCAGCGAUUCCAAAUGCUCCCUGCGAGAAACUGUGCGACGUUGUUCUUAGCGUUUUGACGACAUGCUGCAGACAUCAUUAUCAGAUGAUGCAGGGUUACGUGCUUAAAGCGCAGGCAGCUACGCAAGCGGCUACGCAGGCGAUGCAGUACCAAAUGCAUUCUGCUGCUCAGUCGCAGACCUACAGUCCCAUACAGGCGGGAUACGUGCAGCAGUAUCCCUAUGCACCAGUUUACACCGGUGGCCAGUCCACUGUGCCAACUACACCCCUGGUCGGCAUCUCUCCCAUACCGAUUUAUCAUCAGACGACACCACGGACUGCCGGCCCUCCACCGAAUUUAACUCUUCAGCAGGCUAUUCCAGCAUCGCAACUGCCGUCAUUAACAACUAAGAGUCAAGCUUCUGCUUCAGUAGACGAUCACAAGGUUGAACAAGCUGAGCCUAUUGGCAUUGAGCCAAGCGUGUCAGUCAAAGCUACCGUCGAAACUCCGACCAGUAAGGACAAAGACAAAGAGAAUGCUAUUCCUGACUUGGAAAAGUUGACCAAGGAAGGUGAAAAGAUCGACACUUUCAAGGACAAAUUAGCGCAGAUGAGAGAAGCCUUUAAAACGAUUGCUUUGAACGUCAAGGAAAAAUCGAAAUCUGAAAAAUCUACUGCUGAAGUGGAGCACAAAGAGAUGGAGACGGCAGCCUCCGAGUCGUUAGUCAAAGACGAACAGCGAAAUCUCGAAAAAUCAUCCGAGAACGUUAUAGUACCAAUUACAAAGAUGGCAAAUCAAGUUAAAGACGACAAAGUUGAUUCUGCUAUAAAAACUGUAACAAAUGGGUAUAGCAUCAAAGAUUCAGUAUCUAUACGUGACGAUAGAUCUGAUAUCACUACACUUACAACAAGAAACGAUUCCAAGCUGCAAAAGAAAGUUGGUAUGGAUGGAUUGGUAAAAAUGCUGUUAAAGAAAUUUCCUGGUGCAAUGGAGUGUGACGUCAUUGAAGCAAUUGCCAAGAUUCGAAAAGAGCGUAAUGAUGCGCUGACUGGUAUACCGGUCAGCCGAAUCAUGGAAGAGGCCAAGCCACAUAUCCAGCAAAGUCAGCGUUUACAUGAUUUAAAAAAAAGUAGUUACACAAUUAGUUUUCCAAAAGACUUUGAAUUAUCAAUUUCCUGGAAAAAAAGUUGAAAAAUCAUCAAAUAGAAGAAUAAGACAUUUAUUUUUAUGUCUUUAGAUAAUAAGAUAAAUUCUUGGUAAAUUUUGGAUUAUCAUUGAUACUCAGUUUUGUUUUCAGAACACGAAGCUGGAGUUAAAAUGUGAUUUAUGUUAGCUAAAUUUUUACGAACGAAGAUAACAAAGCACCAUAUUUUCGUACAAACAAUUCAACAUCUUUCUACAGGACAAUUAGACUUGAGUAGUGA